UCUCCGUUGGUGAACCAGCGGAGGGAUCAUUGCUGGAAACAAACGCCCUCACGGGCGCUACCCCAGAAACCCAUUGUGAACUUAUAAACACCUUUUGUUGCCUCGGCAGUUGGUUGGCCUCUAGUGAGGUCCCUCUAGCGCUUCUGUGUUAGUGGAGCAGACCGGCCGAUGGCCCCUAUAAACUCUUGUUUUUGUAGUAUCUUCUGAGUAAAACAACUAUAAAUGAAUCAAAACUUUCAACAACGGAUCUCUUGGUUCUGGCAUCGAUGAAGAACGCAGC
rnacentral:misc_RNA from 1 species